CACGUAGGGGGCGAGCGUUGUUCGGAUUUACUGGGCGUAAAGGGCGCGUAGGCGGCAACUCAAGUCAUCUGUGAAAUCUCCGGGCUUAACUCGGAACGGUCAGAUGAUACUGUUUUGCUAGAGUGCAGAAGGGGCAAUCGGAAUUCUUGGUGUAGCGGUGAAAUGCGUAGAUAUCAAGAGGAACACCUGAGGUGAAGACGGGUUGCUGGGCUGACACUGACGCUGAGGCGCGAAAGCCAGGGGAGCAAACGGG
rnacentral:rRNA from 1 species